AAAAAAAAAACGUCUGGACUAAACACAACAACAAUUUCCAUUAAAAAUUUCUGUUAGCUUUUUACUGUCGUAAUUCGGUAAAGCAAUACUCGUAGAGACUUGACAUUUUCGCAUAAUAUUAGCUUUUUAUAGAAUUUUCGUAAUAUUCUAAAGUUCUCAAAGUUGUUUAUGUCCAUUUGAAAUUUUCAAGGGAUUUUAUUAAAUAUUCAACAGUUGACUUAUAUGCAUUGUAUAUAAUAAUAACCAUCAUAUUAAACAUUUACACAACUCUCAAUACCGCGUAUUUUGAUUAACACACUUCCCCCCAUGACUACUAUUCCUGAAUUGACCAA